GUGGGGAUGACGUCAAGUCAUCAUGGCCCUUACGACCAGGGCUACACACGUGCUACAAUGGCGCAUACAAAGAGAAGCGACCUCGCGAGAGCAAGCGGACCUCAUAAAGUGCGUCGUAGUCCGGAUUGGAGUCUGCAACUCGACUCCAUGAAGUCGGAAUCGCUAGUAAUCGUGGAUCAGAAUGCCACGGUGAAUACGUUCCCGGGCCUUGUACACACCGCCCGUCACACCAUGGGAGUGGSUUGCAAAAGAAGUAGGUAGCUUAACCUUCGGGAGGGCGCUUACCACUUUGUGAUUCAUGACUGGGGUGAAGUCGUAACAAGGUAACCGUAGGGGAACCUGCGGUUGGAUCACCUCCUUA
rnacentral:rRNA from 1 species